rnacentral:rRNA from 1 species
UACGGGGGGGGCAAGCGUUGUUCGGAAUUACUGGGCGUAAAGGGCUCGUAGGUGGCCAACUAAGUCAGACGUGAAAUCCCCAGGCUCAACUGGGGAGGGUCAUUCGAUACUGUUCGACUCGAAGGCAGGAGAGGGAAGUGGAAUUCCCGGUGUAGUGGUGAAAUGCGUAGAUAUCGGGAGGAACACCAGUGGCGAAGGCGACUUCCUGGCCUGUUCUUGACGCUGAGGCGCGAAAGCUAGGGGAGCAAACGGG